rnacentral:misc_RNA from 1 species
UUCACUUCUCUCAUUGUACUAAUCUUUUUCUUUCAUUCUCUUCAUCACUCUUCACACAUGUUUUCCUCCUUAAAGUUUCCCUGGCCACUAUCUCUUUCUCCCUCUUGUUUUCUGUUUGGCGAUUUUUAGAUUCUGUGUGUCAGAGUUACAUUUUCCUUUUGUCUUUCUGAUUUUCUGAGCAAGAGGACCCCUUUCUGUCAGAUACAAAAUCUCUUAUCUCUAACACUUGCUUUUAAGUGCUAUCCUUCACAUAUCUGCAUCAUUAUCAAUACCCAACUACCCAUAUUCACCACUCCUUCAUGAAUCCUCAUCACCACUCCUCUUAUUUAAACCCUAAUUCUUUGAAAUCUAGGUUCACUAAAAACUUCCUUCGAUCUUUGAUUAAAAUAAACAAGCAAACACCUUUUCCAUGUCGUCCUACAGAGAUGUUUCAACGAUGUCAUAAGGUUAAGACUGCUGCUGAUAAAUCCCUAGCUUGCGCUGUUGGGUCAAGGAGAGUUUGGAGUAGGGCAAUGCUUUGCAAGAUUCGAAACCGAGCACUGAGGAGGGGACCCCAGAAGCCUCCUUCAGUUAGAAGAAUCAUCAUCAACAAUCGAACCAUGAAAAAGGGUUUUAAUUGUUUAAAGGAGAAGAUGAAUGAUGAUCAAGAAGCUGGUAUUGAUCAAACCAGUAAGCUAAGAAAACUGGUACCAGGAGGUGAAGCUAUGGAUUUAUGCAAUUUGUUGGAUGAGGCUGCACAUUACAUCAAGUGCCUUAACACCCAAGUACAGGUGAUGAGAAGUAUUGCUGAUUUCUACUCUACUUGAUCUAUAUAUUAUAUAUACACACCUAUUUUCAUAUAUAACAUUAUAAUUAAGUAGAAAAACAGAAGUAACGAAUCCUAUUAAGUAUCAACAGAGAAAAAAUAUAUAAAAAAAUUAAUAAAUGGCAUAAAAAAAAAUCGGGGACUUUAUGUGAAAAAUAUAUGUAUUUUACAAGUACCAUAGCCCUAGUAAUUUCUAUGUAUGGCAAUGUACUUGAACCAGAUGAGCUUGAUGCUUGUGAAAAGCAAUGGAUAUUACUACCAUAUCUAUAUUAUAUAUAUUGCCUGUGUAUGGAAAUUUCGUGUCUCACCAAUGAUUUUAUUUUAUUACUAAUAUCUUCUUAAUUUCUUGCUAUAUAUAUUCACCUGGGUUUUACUUUCAGCUAGCUAGCUUCUUGAAAAAACUGGUGAUGAACUGAUCUCUAGCUAGCUUAGUGUUCCAGGAAAUUCAUGAUGCAGAAAGGAUUGAAUCCCUUGGUAAGGAUUGAAGAAAACUGGCACUCACUUUUUUAGGAAAAAAAAAAGGGCAUCUUUUGGUAAUUAGCAGAGGCAAUGGGUCCAAGUAGGUAAUAAUUGUGCUCCCUGGCCUUUAGUCUUGAACCCGUGUAUGUUUCUCCAGUUUUCAAUGUUUUUACGUUUGUCACCCAGUUGCUUCAAAAGUGAUGACCAAAUGAUUCCUUUCUCCCACACAUGCUUCCCACCAAUUAUGUUUCUUUCCCAUCUGUUGUGUGUGUGUGUGUAUAUAUAU